rnacentral:rRNA from 1 species
CAGUCGCCGCGGGAAUACGAAGGGUGCAAGCGUUACUCGGAAUUACUGGGCGUAAAGCGUGCGUAGGUGGUGGUUUAAGUCCGUUGUGAAAGCCCUGGGCUCAACCUGGGAAUUGCAGUGGAUACUGGGUCACUAGAGUGUGGUAGAGGACAGUGGAAUUUCCGGUGUAGCAGUGAAAUGCGUAGAGAUUGGAAGGAACAUCUGUGGCGAAGGCGACUAUCUGGGCCAACACUGACACUGAGGCACGAAAGCGUGGGGAGCAAACAGGAUUAGAUACCCGCGUAGUCCCUGUCUCUUAUAC